CUGGGCCAUCCCAAAUGGCGAGCGAGGGCCCAUAGUGCUCUGGUCAAAAGUAGUGCACUAUAUAGGGAAUAGGGCUCGGGUCUAAAGUAGUGCACUAUGUAGGGAAUAGGGUGCAAUAGGGCUCUGGUCUAAAGUAGUGCACUAUAUAGGGAAUAGGGUUCUAUAGGGCUCUGGUCUAAAGUAGUGCACUAUAUAGGGAAUAGGGUUCUAUAGGGCUCUGGUCUAAAGUAGUGCACUAUAUAGGGAAUAGGGUUCUAUAGGGCUCUGGUCUAAAGUAGUGCACUAUAUAGGGAAUAGGGUUCUAUAGGGCUCUGGUCUAAAGUAGUGUACUAUAUAGGGAAUAGGGUUCCAUUCAGGACAGUAAGGGGAGGCUGCAGGAGUCUGUAAUGUGAUGUGACCGUGAUAACGACAGUGAGGGGAGGCUGCAGGAGUCUGUGACCGUGAUAACGACAGUGAGGGAAGGCUGCAGGAGUCUAAUGUGACCGUGAUAACGACAGUGAGGGAAGGCUGCAGGAGUCUGUAAUGUGAUAUGACCGUGAUAACGACAGUGAGGGAAGGCUGCAGGAGUCUGUAAUGUGACCGUGAUAAUGACAGUGAGGGGAGGCUGCAGGAGUCUGUAAUGUGAUAUGACCGUGAUAACGACAGUGAGGGAAGGCUGCAGGAGUCUGUAAUGUGACCGUGAUAACGACAGUGAGGGGAGGCUGCAGGAGUCUGUAAUGUGAUCGUGAUAACGACAGUGAGGGGAAACUGCAGGACUCUGUAAUGUGACCGUGAUAACGAC
ensembl:lncRNA